GACGAACCGUACGAACGUUAUUCGGAAUCACUGGGCUUAAAGGGUGCGUAGGCGGCGCGGAAAGUUGGGUGUGAAAUCCCUCGGCUCAACCGAGGAACUGCGCUCAAAACUACCGUGCUUGAGGGAGACAGAGGUGAGCGGAACUAAGGGUGGAGCGGUGAAAUGCGUUGAUAUCCUUAGGAACACCGGUGGCGAAAGCGGCUCACUGGGUCUCUUCUGACGCUGAGGUACGAAAGCUAGGGGAGCGAACGGG
rnacentral:rRNA from 1 species